AACUCAAAUACUUUAGCCACUUGAUACAAAGAGCUGACUCAUUAAAAGAGAUCCCGAUGCUGGGAAAGAUUGAGGGCAAGAGAUGUAACGACAGAGGAGGCGGUGCUUUGAUGGUAUCACUGCCUCAAUGGACAUGAGUUUCAGCAAGCUCCAGGAGAUGGUGAAGGACAAGGAAGCCUGGCAUGCUGCAGUUUAUGGGGUCAAAAAGAGUUGGACCUGCAACUGAACAACAACAACAUUGUGCACGUUAAUACUAAACCAGGUCACCUAGCCAGGCACCAGAGGAUCCUGGUUACACAUGAGAACUUUUCAAAGUAUAGAAAAAGGAAAUUUGAAACAUUCUGACUGUAUAGAUUACUACAAACUAAUGGCAAUGGAAGGCUGCUUGAUAACUGUCUAAAAAGGAAAAAAGGAUGGGCAACUAAGGAACUAUCUUAUAAUUCAGUCUGUCAAGUGUGUUCCUGUGUCUAAAUGUGUGUCUUUGGUCUCCAGAAAAAUUAUAAAUAUUGGUAAAACUAAAAACAAAUAUUAAAAAGCACAUCAGAAUGAGUGAUAAGGGAGAUACACCUGCUAAAGACUGAUAAAAAUCUUCCUUUUUAGUAUUUAUAACUUGGUUAAAGGAUCUCCUUUGUUAAUUUCUAUUCUUAGACUAAAUCAGCAAUGCUGUGAUGGCUCCUUGUUAAAGGAAUGACAUAAAAAUUCUGGAAAGCCAGGCUAGAAAACCUGCCUUGGUUGCAAAAGUCUAUUUGCACCAGUCACUUGCACCUCUGUCCCAUUGAGAUGAGAUCAGUAGCUCAGUCGUGUCCGACUCUUUGCAACCCCAUGAAUUGCAGAUUGCCAGGCCUCCCUGUCCAUCACCAACUCCCGGAGUUCACUGAGACUCACGACCAUCGAUCAGUG